GCAGUCGGACGGUCUGUCGCUUGUCUUUUCGGAGACGGGAGGAAAGUCCGGGCAACACAGAGCGCCAUUCUUCCUAACGGGAAGUUAUUCGCGAGGGUAAGGUAGCGUAACAGAAAAUAACCGCCAUGCUCUAUGGCACGGUAAGGGUGAAAAGGCGAGGUAAAAGCUCACCGCUUGUGUAGUAAUACGCAAGGCUGUACGUCCAAUGGGUUGUAAGGUCAUGUACACCGGCGCAAGAGGGCUGCUCGUCCAAUGCCGGGGGGUAGACCGCACGAACACACCGGUGACGGUGCGUCCAGAUAAAUGACAGACAUUCCGAUACUUCGGAAUACAGAACCCGGCUUACAGGCCGGCUGCAUCU
rnacentral:RNase_P_RNA from 1 species